GCUCAGUGUGCAGCUGGCUAUACUGCUGCUGAGGCAAAACCGCGUAACGCAGGACCCGCGGCCUUAAGGAAGCGGUGCCGAAGUCAGUGGGACUCCCUGAGUGUCCCUUCUUUCUAAGUACUAAAAACCAUCCUCGCCUUACAAGCGUUUUUCCCGCCAAGUGAUUUAAGGACUCGGAUUCCUUUACAAGUAUGUUAUCUGGGCUGAUAAAUUUAUUCUUCCUAGUGUCUUAAGGAGAAAAGGCUACUUGGAUUUUACCUCGGUUGUUUCAAGGAACCAAAAAGCAACCUACGUAGAGAUCAUGAGUAUUCCUCCUCCUUUGAGAAAUUAAAUGCCUUUAUAGGAGAAGAGCUUUGGAAAGUACUGUUUUUGAGAUACAUUAACUACUGAUUGAGACUGAAAAACUACAAAGUAAUUUGCCUAAAAACAACAAACUUGUCCAGAAAUGGAGAUGUAAUCUUUUAUUAAGAAGACUUUUGCAAAACCAAAAGCAAAAUCCCCAGAAUUACUGGAAGCCAAGUCUGCAAAUGACAACCCUGUACUAUUUCCAAAUCCAAAUGGAAGUGUUUUGUUUUCUACUAACAAAAGGAAAAAGAACAAUUUAGUGUUUCACUGAUAUAUACUGAACAUCAAAGCUUAAGCCAGAAAACGAGGAGAAUGGGGAUAGAACCUUCUGAAGCUUUUAUCUGCUGGUUAUUUCUCUGAAGAAGGUAAAAGUUACAAAAUGCAUCCAAUUCUGAACUUCCUUAGUAUUAUUAAGCUGACAUGAAAGAUUCCUUAUCAAUACUAUAUCAAAACAUGCCAAAAAUCAUUUUUAAAAAUAGGAUGUUGAAGUAUCUAUACUAACCCACACAUAGUUAUAUAGUUACUGCUUUAUAAUCUGAAACAAGCAUCCAGCCAAAAUUAAGAUUUUAGGAAACAUCUGAAAUUCCAUUAAUCCAGCAUAAAGAGUAUUUGUCUUCUGUUUUAUAAAUAAUAAGCCCAUAAAAACUGAAUGUCUCAUUUAUAGAAGGUAUAUAAUACUAGGUCAUCAGGAGUUUGGGGGUCUCAUAUUAAUUCUGCCAAAGUCAGAAUGAUCUCUGAAAGCCCUAUGCUUUACUUUCCUCAUCUGAAAUAUACGGGAUCUGAGGUCUGAAGUACCUUCCUCUUCUAGCAUAUUAAGGCUCUAAAAUGCCUAUAAUCUAAUAUUUGUGAUUUAUUUCAGCCUACUUCUGCAAUAAGUUAGAGUAUACAGCCAACAGACAUAUAUAAAACAAUACAGUUUAAAGAGACCCCCCCUCAAUCGAGAUGGAAAGGCAAGGAGGAAGCACACCAAACAUUAGUUAAGAUAACUAAAAAUGUUGCAAGCUUUGAGGAUGGUGAAUAAAGACAUUUAAAUAGCACCUUUAACAGUUAACAACCCUAUUGUAAUAUUUCUAAAUUUAUUUCGUAUUUAC